rnacentral:rRNA from 1 species
UACGUAGGGUGCGAGCGUUAAUCGGAAUUACUGGGCGUAAAGCGUGCGCAGGCGGUUUUGUAAGACAGAUGUGAAAUCCCCGGGCUUAACCUGGGAAUGGCAUUUGGGACUGCAAGGCUGGAGUGCGGCAGAGGAGACUGGAAUUCCUGGUGUAGCAGUGAAAUGCGUAGAUAUCAGGAGGAAUACCGAUGGCGAAGGCAGGUCUCUGGGCUGACACUGACGCUCAUGCACGAAAGCGUGGGGAGCAAACAGG